rnacentral:rRNA from 1 species
GACAGAGGCCCCAAGCGUUAGGCGGAAUCACUGGGCUUAAAGCGUGUGUAGGCGGACGCCUAAGUGUCUUGUGAAAUCCCACGGCUCACCCGUGGAACUGCUGGGCAUACUGGGCGUCUUGGGCCAACUAGGGGCAGCCGGAACAAGCGGUGGAGCGGUGAAAUGCGUAGAUAUCGCUUGGAACGCCGAAGGUGAAAACAGGCUGCUGGGGUUGCGCCGACGCGUGAGACCACGAAAAGCCAGGGGAGCAAACGGG